AGUGAACGCUGGCGGUAGGCCUAACACAUGCAAGUCGAACGGCAGCACAGUAAGAGCUUGCUCUUACGGGUGGCGAGUGGCGGACGGGUGAGGAAUACAUCGGAAUCUACUUUUUCGUGGGGGAUAACGUAGGGAAACUUACGCUAAUACCGCAUACGACCUACGGGUGAAAGCAGGGGAUCUUCGGACCUUUCGCGAUUGAAUGAGCCGAUGUCGGAUUAGCUAGUUGGCGGGGUAAAGGCCCACCAAGGCGACGAUCCGUAGCUGGUCUGAGAGGAUGAUCAGCCACACUGGAACUGAGGCACGGUCCAGACUCCUACGGGAGGCAGCAGUGGGGAAUAUUGGACAAUGGGCGCAAGCCUGAUCCAGCCAUACCGCGUGGGUGAAGAAGGCCUUCGGGUUGUAAAGCCCUUUUGUUGGGAAAGAAAAGCAGCAGGUUAAUACCCCGCUGUUCUGACGGUACCCAAAGAAUAAGCACCGGCUAACUUCGUG
rnacentral:rRNA from 1 species